rnacentral:rRNA from 1 species
GACAGAGGGUGCAAACGUUGUUCGGAUUUACUGGGCGUAAAGCGCGUGUAGGCGGCUUUGCAAGUCGGAUGUGAAAUCCCACGGCUCAACCGUGGAAGUGCAUCCGAAACUGCAUCGCUGGAGUCUCGGAGAGGAAGGUGGAAUGCUUGGUGCAGAGGUGAAAUUCGUAGAUAUCAAGCAGAACACCUGCGGCGAAGGCGGCCUUCUGGACGAUGACUGACGCUGAGACGCGAAAGCGUGGGGAGCAAACAGG